UCAGUCCUAGAAACACUGAUGAAUAAGGGGUGGGCAAGUUCUGGUGUCAGCCGCCGCGGUAAAACCAGCACCUCAAGUGGUCAGGAUGAUUAUUGGGCCUAAAGCAUCCGUAGCCGGCUCUGUAAGUUUUCGGUUAAAUCUGUACGCUCAACGUACAGGCUGCCGGGAAUACUGCAGAGCUAGGGAGUGGGAGAGGUAGACGGUACUCGGUAGGAAGGGGUAAAAUCCUUUGAUCUAUUGAUGACCACCUGUGGCGAAGGCGGUCUACCAGAACACGUCCGACGGUGAGGGAUGAAAGCUGGGGGAGCAAACCGGAUUAGAUACUCGGGUAGUCCCAGCUGUAAACGAUGCAAACUCGAUGAUGCGUUGGCUUGUUGCUAGCGCAGUGUCGCAGGGAAGCCGUUAAGUUUGCCGCCUGGGAAGUACGUACGUUAGUAUGAAACUUAAAGGAAUUGGCGGGGGGGCACCACAAGGGGUGAAGCCUGCGGUUCAAUUGGAGUCAACGCCGGAAAUC
rnacentral:rRNA from 1 species